rnacentral:lncRNA from 1 species
CGCCGCGACGCCGAACCCGGAAGCGCGGUCCCGGCGCGGCUCGCCCCCAGCUUUGACCAUAUAUAGUCAAGCGCUCGGCUAGGCGGCUGCGGCCUCGUGAGCCUGCGCAGACGGCGCACCCUCCCGCUCCGCCCCGCCCCGGAAGUGACGCCACGCCGCGGCCCUUGAAAUGGAGGCGCGGAUCGCCAGCAAGUGCCUGCUGUUCGGGAGGGUUCUCUCUGAGACUUUACCUGGGAAUUCAUCUUCAUAGCUCAGACUUCAGCUUUUCAAUGAGCGUCACGUGCCCUGGCCACCUUACUUUAAAGGGCAGCCUUUUAUCCCUUGCAGUCAUCCCUGGGCUGCGCUGCCGGUUUCCCUGCUAUGUAACUGGUUGUCUGGAGUAUAUCUCCAGCCUCAGUGGCUGAUCCCACUACCCAGCCCUGAGCCAUGAAAGAAAUAACAUGAAAGUGGUUUCAGGAAAUUGAAGGGCCAUAGGAAAGCUUAGUCUGCAA